rnacentral:rRNA from 1 species
AGGGUCCGUAGCCGGUUUGAUCAGUCUUCCGGGAAAUCUGACAGCUCAACUGUUAGGCUUCUGGGGGAUACUGUCAGACUUGGAACCGGGAGAGGUAAGAGGUACUACAGGGGUAGGAGUGAAAUCUUGUAAUCCUUGUGGGACCACCAGUGGCGAAGGCGUCUUACCAGAACGGGUUCGACGGUGAGGGACGAAAGCUGGGGGCACGAACCGGAUUAGAUACCCGGGUAGUCCCAGCCGUAAACGAUGCUCGCUAGGUGUCUGGGAUGGUGCGACCGUUUCAGGUGCCGCAGGGAAGCCGUGAAGCGAGCCACCUGGGAAGUACGGCCGCAAGGCUGAAACUUAAAGGAAUUGGCGGGGGAGCACUACAACGGGUGGAGCCUGCGGUUUAAUUGGACUCAACGCCGGAAAACUCACCUGGGGCGACAGCAAUAUGUAGGUCAGGCUGAAGGUCUUACCUGAAUCGCUGAGAGGAG